rnacentral:rRNA from 1 species
GAUUCUGGCUCAGGAUGAACGCUAGCGACAGGCUUAACACAUGCAAGUCGAGGGGCAGCACGGGAGUAGCAAUACAACUGGUGGCGACCGGCGCACGGGUGAGUAACGCGUAUGCAACCUACCUAUCAGAGGGGAAUAACCCGGCGAAAGUCGGACUAAUACCGCAUAAAACAGGGGCACCGCAUGGUGAUAUUUGUUAAAGAGAUUCGCUGAUAGAUGGGCAUGCGUUCCAUUAGGUAGUUGGUGAGGUAACGGCUCACCAAGCCGACGAUGGAUAGGGGAACUGAGAGGUUGGUCCCCCACACUGGUACUGAGACACGGACCAGACUCCUACGGGAGGCAGCAGUGAGGAAUAUUGGUCAAUGGGCGGGAGCCUGAACCAGCCAAGUCGCGUGAAGGAAGAAGGAUCUAUGGUUCGUAAACUUCUUUUGCAGGGGAAUAAAGUGCAGGACGUGUCCUGUUUUGUAUGUACCCUGAGAAUAAGGAUCGGCUAACUCCGUGCCAGCCGCGGC